rnacentral:lncRNA from 1 species
AUUUUCUUUUAAUAAUGAGAAUGGUUCUAUUCUUGCUUAUCUAAAUGGUGUCUUAUAUUUUGAAGCUAUACCAUGUAAUGGAAUUUAUGAAACUGUUAUGAUUGUAGAUAACUUAGGAAAUGAUGUUUUAUGCAUGGAUUCUUCCAAUGGUAUGGAUAGAGCAUCCUUGUGGCAUUGUCGUCUUGGACAUGUCAACAAGAAGCGCAUAGCCCAACUCCAAAAGGAUGGAGUGUUGGAGUCAUUCGACCUUAGGGAAGAUGACACGUGCGAGUCUUGUUUGCUUGGAAAGAUGACUAAGUCACCCUUCACAAGUACGUGUGAAAGGGGUGAAGGUCUAUUGGACCUAAUACAUACCGAUGUAUGUGGACCGUUUAGAUCAACCACGAAGGAUGGGAACCGCUUCUAUGUGACUUUUACCGAUGGCUAUAGUAGAUAUGGGUAUAUCUACUUAAUCAAGCAAAAGUCAGAAACAUUUGAAAAAUUCAAAGAGUUCAAGAAUGAAGUGGAGAAUCAAUUGGGUAGGAAAAUCAAGAUGCUUCGAUCCGAUCGAGGAGGAGAGUACCUAAGUCUUGAAUUCCACGAUUAUCUCAAGGAGUGUGGAAUAGUUUCACAAUUGACGCCACCAAGGACACCGCAUGUGAAUGGUGUGACAGAAAGGCGUAAUCGAACUUUGUUAUACAUGGUUCGCUCUAUGAUGUGUCGUGCUUCACUACCUAUCUCUUUUUGGGGGUAUGCCUUAGAGACUGUCGCCCAUAUCCUUAACCGAGUCCCUACUAAGAAGGUUG